GCAAAUAAGAACCACAGCAAGACAGCUGUGAAGGAAUGAGCACGCAUUUGCAAAUAGCUAGCUGAUGAGGGAAGAGAAGGUGAGCGAAAAAUUUGCACAUGAAUCGCAAUGCGGUGCGCAUUGAGCAUUAGCGAUCGUCAUUAGUGAAGUGGAGCGCUUAACGUAGUGUUACCAGAAAAUGCUUAUUUGCAAAACACACAAUCUUUUUCGUGACUCAGUAACUGCUUUAACUCAUUCUCGUUACAAUGUAAAGUCAAACUGGGGAUUUUUUAUAGUAACGUCUGGCCACCUUCGAACUCGUCAUCGCUCAUGCUCGGUGCGCGUCAUCAUCUCUACGCCAGUGUUGUUGGCGAACGCAAGUGGCGCAUUUGCUACAAAACGAGAGAGUUGCAAAAUUUGAGCAAAUUGUUUACUAAGCUUGCGAAUCGUACCACGAGGAGAGUCAGGAUCAAUGUCACCAGGAUGCGCCAUUUUUUUACACCUGUUUCUCCCCCCCUCUAAUUAUUUUAAUUUUUAAUAUUUUUUCGUAAAAUUUUUUUUCUGUAUUCUUAAGAUAUCAAUAAAAACACCAUAA